rnacentral:lncRNA from 1 species
UCAACUUCCUGAGGUUUAUCAGCCUUGAUAUUUAGUUGGGUAUAAUCUGCUACUGUUGGAUAUUUAUCCAUUAUUGUUAUUUGUUUUAUUUAGUUAAUUUGCUUCUGCUAAUAAUCCCCAUUUGUCAGGAAACAUGGUUAGUGUUUGACCUAAUCUUUAGGAGAAUCCCAAUAGUCUAGGGUUGUUAGACGUGGGUUAUUUUGUUGCUUAUUUUUUUGAUUAUUGUUCCUUGUACGGCUAUUUAUGCCAGUCUUUGGAGUCAAUGAAUAAUCACAUUCUCUCAGACUUUUGCACUCUUUAGCUUUCAAAGUUCUAGUUCUUAACAAUUGUAUCAGAGCUCCCCACUGGGGCCUGGUUUGAUAAAGCAGCAGCUUUCAUCUUGCAGCAGCAAGACUGAACUUCAUUAUCAGGCUGCAAAAAGAGUGCUCCACUAUUUGAAAGGUACUGUGGAUUAUGGGCUGUUUUAUAAGAAGGGUGAAAGCAAUGAGUUUGUGGGAUUUAGUGACAGUGAUUGUGCUGGGGAUUUGGAAGAUAGAAAGAGCACAUCUGGUCAUGUGUUCAUGUUAAGUUCAGGGGCUGUUUCAUGGUCUUCAAAGAAGCAGCAAGUUGUCACUUUGUCUACAACCGAAGCUGAGUUCAUAGCAGCUGCUUCUUGUGCUUGUCAGGCUGUAUGGUUAAGAAGAAUACUUGAGGAAUUACAUUGCAUUCAGAAGAAGCCUUCACUGAUAUACUGUGAUAACAGUUCAACGAUCAAACUUUCCAAGAAUCCAGUGCUGCAUGGAAGAAGCAAGCACAUUGAUGUCAGGUUUCAUUUCCUUCGUGAUCUUACAAAGGCAGGCGUUGUUGAUCUAGUUCAUUGUCAAAGUCAAGAUCAAAUUGCAGACAUAUUGACCAAGCCUCUGAAGCUAGAAGCAUUUGAGAAGCUGCGUGGUCUACUUGGAGUUUGGUCAGGUUCUACUGUAAACUGAUUGCUUGAAUAGCAUUCAGUUUAAGGGAGGGAAUGUUGGAUAUUUAUCCAUUAUUGUUAUUUGUUUUAUUUAGUUAAUUUGCCUCUGCUAAUAAUCCCUAUUUGUCAGGAAACAUGGUUAGUGUUUGACCUAAUCUUUAGGAGAAUCCCAAUAGUCUAGGGUUGUUAGACGUGGGAUAUUUUGUUGCUUAUUUUUCUGAUUACUUGUUCCUUGUACGGCUAUUUAUGCCAGUCUUUGGAGUCAAUGAAUAAUCACAUUCUCUCAGCCUUUUGCACUCUUUAGCUUUCAAAGUUAGUUCUUAACAGCUACAUCCUAUUCUGGCAGGGAU